AAAGGCAACUGAACGUAUGCUCAGAGAUAUUUUUCGCGAAACACAUGUUUGGUAAGGCUGGAAGCAAUUUUUAUUUAGUCUUACCGUAGCCCAGUUUUUUUUUACUUAGCAGCAGAAUUCUCCAAUUUUAAGCGGACAAAACGCAAAUGAAGGAUUUAAAUUUCUUUUCCUAACUGUAAGCUAAACGAAAGCAGUGAAAUGCCAAAAAUGCAUGUCGAUAACAAUUCAAAAAAGUUGGUGUUAGCUGAUUUUGUCAAUUAGCAUUGGUAGUCUAGACUGGUGUUCAAUGAUGUUUUGCGUCAUCUUGUUUUGGCGGGAAAAACAUGCACUUAAAGGUGAUGUAAUGUCCGUUCUGCGCAGGCCUACAUUCCAAUGGUCUGGACCCGACCAUUGGAGUUUUGUUAAUAUGUCAACACCUUCCGAACUUUCUUGAAUUCAUGAAUCUCUAGUCUGUAUUAAUUUACAAGCAUAUAGCGAACCAGAAGACUGUUAAAAAUUCAGUUUAAUAUACAUCUAAUCAUAUUUUACAACGUAGCACUGAGCUCAAAAUGUAAACAAAGCGUUCGUCGCGAAUUCCUUUCUACCAUCUUCAUGUAGAAAUUUAAGUAUAAAGGACGGCUGAAUGCUGGCAAAAAAAUAUGCAGAAAAAAAGCAACAGAAAAAUUUUAAUAAAUUAUCAUUACAGUGGUAAUCAUGUCAUGACGAGUCCAAUUAAGGAUAGACGGUGCAAGUAAUUUUUUUGCACGAAAAAAAUUGGAAUUUCACUCAUGCACACAUGCCAUUCAAAUCGCACUGUAUUUGUCAUUUUCUUAAUAAAAGCAUUAGUUUUGGAUAUCCAAUUGGGAAACGAAAUGGGAAAAAUUCAAAUCCUUUUCAACCGUCAUUUAAUUUAAAUUUUUUUUGCUCAAAUUGUUUUGAGGGCUGAUCUACUAAUGAUCCUGAUCUAUUAAUUGUACGGGAGUGUCCAUUUGAUGAAAUAAUGCUCUCUAAUAUAUGUGGGAGGCUUUUAAAACUUCACUUAUAUAGUCCAGUAGUUAUGUGUUCGACACGAAAUGAACUACAUAGGAAAUAAUGCAAAAAAUAUACUUUGAAAGAAUAACAUAUGCAUACUUAUGCAUGUUGAAACAGAUUCGAAAUUGGCCAUAAUGUAUUAAUGCAAUUCACUUUCACUUUUUAAACAAUACUGAUGCAUGCUAGUCAUGCAGCUAGUGCACGUUUCAUAUUGGAAAUCCCAGUUUAUAUAAUUAAUUUGGAUGCAAUUAUUCUUGCUUCAAAAUAUUAGUAACGCAAAUUUGCAUAAAUACAGCAUAAUGAUAGUUUUUUUGUGUAUACUAGGUGUAUAAAAAAAGUUAACCCAACUUUGGCAUGUUAUCGUGAAUCAGUAUAUAUAGCGUUUAACCAUUUACUUUUUUCAUACAAAUAAUAAAAGAUCAGGCUUUUAGCUGUCGAAUAAUACGUUUCGUGUAUCAAUGCGUGUAGUUGGUUUUCUAUGUGACAAAAAUCAAUGUUAAUUGAUAUAGCUUUGAUUUUUCUCGGCUUAUUAGUCAUUUUAAAACUAUUUCGCCAAUGUACUCAUGUUUUACAUCUGAUAAACAGGGCCGUUGUGGGUCCCGUGUUUUAGGGGAGGGGGUAGGGGGAUAGGGGGGCAAGAGUAGCAUUUUUCCGGCAAACACAAUUUUUUCCGACAUAAAUAAAAUAUGAAAUCAUAUAGAAUUAAAUAUCAACUAUGCUUGACGUAUAUUGGAAAAACGUAAACUGAGUCCCAUUUCAAAUAUUUCAUCCAUAUAUUUUUUAUUCAAACAUGUUUCCCAUUGUCAAACAACGAAGAGAAGUUAAAUGCCUGCUGGUAUAUGCUGGUAUGCCUGACCACGAUGAUUCCGACAACCUAACAAAUUUCCAAUUUUCCGAAGCGUCUCAACAAUAUAGGGGAGGGGGCAUGCUUCCCCCCUCGUCCUUGGCGCCACUGCUGAUAAAGCACUCACACGCGUCCUGAAAGUAGUACAUGACAUUUGUAAAGAAAUCGGUGGCAAAUACAAUGCUCUUAUUUCAUAUAAAUUCAUGUUAUUCAACUUAUUCGUACAAUAUUUAACCUAUACUUAUUCGCUGAAGGCGAGGUGAUUAUCAGGGACUAUUCGCCGAGACGUACGAAGUUGAGGUGAAUAUUCUCCGAUAAUCACUAAGCGUGAGACAAAUAAAUGUUUUAGUAUUUUUACACAAGUCUUUUGUGUUUUUUUUGGGACUGAAUUUAUUUUAAUUUCGCCUAUAUCCAUGUCUUUAUCCGCAGUAACUUCCACUGCAAAACGGUUAGCCGUCAUUUUGAAGUCUAAUUCGGUUUUGUUAUAUUCAAUUGUAGGCGAAUAUUACAGCUUAAUACAUCAAAUUUGACCAAUCAACUUGUAGGAUUUGUUAUAUUCACUUGUGCAAAAAUACUAAAAUAAAUAUAAUAACAUAUCUUGUAUGAUAUAAUAUUGUUAAGUAUCUUGUAUGAUAUAAUAUUGUUAAGUUUUAUAGUUAAAUUUUAAGUUAUUAGUUGAAUACUUAGAUAUUAGUUAUUAGUUUGUAAUGCGCAUGUCCGAUGUCUCGCGUACGAAAAUGUAAGUAACUUUAUUUUCUGCUGUUGCCGUUUGCGGUUGCCAAACUUUCUAUUGAAGCAUUCUGCGUCGGCCGGGGAUAAAUUUAUAACAUGUUUAAAUUAUAAAAGGAUAUACACUUGCUAGUUUGCUUUAAUUAACAAGGAAGAAAAAGUAUAUGCUAGCACGCAAUUAUUUAAUACGGUAAAUGAACUGUUAAUUAGUGAAACACAGAUGUUUGAACAGUUCAAUAUCUCGACGUGCAUAUAUUUAAUGCAUACUGUAGACCAGGGGCCGGUUGUUGAACGGUGUGUUAGCGCUAAUUAACCCUCGGUUAAAAUUUAACCUGCUGUUUUAGUUUAUGUCAUGCACGUCUGGGGUUAAGCUAACCCAGUUUUGAACAAUGGGCCCAGGUAUACAUUGACUGCUUUACUUUUCUAUGCCAUUUGUAAACCAUGCAGAACUAGAGUUACGUCAUGCAUAAAUAUUAUUAUGAAUAAAGUAUUUAAGACAAAUUUGGUUUCCUAAUCUCUCUUUCUUGUCUCUUCAGUUUCUGUGAACUGACAUUUCAUGCCGGUUAGGGGCCAAUCAAAGCAUAAGUCGAUCUGAAAUCGAUUCAGAGCCGUCAUUGGUACGAGUGUAGACAACAUGCAUAAACGAGCUGCAACCGAUUCAAGAUGGACCACAAAUUAUUCACCGUUCUUGUCUUGCAUGAAAUCUUAC